rnacentral:rRNA from 1 species
ACACUCCUGCGUGAGGCAGCAGUGGGGAAUUUUACGCAAUGGGGGAAACCCUGACGUAGCGACACCGCGUGAGCGAAGAAGCCCUUUGGGGUGUAAAGCUCUGUCAGCUGGAACGAAAACAAUGACGGUACCAGCAGAGGAAGCAUCGGCUAACUACGUGCCAGCAGCCGCGGUAAGACGUAGGAUGCGAGCGUUGUCCGGAUUUAUUGGGCGUAAAGAGUUCGUAGGUGGUUUGUUAAGUUUGGUGUUAAAGAUCGGGGCUCAACCCUGGGACUGCACUGAAUACUGGCAGACUCGAGUGUGGUAGAGGCUAGUGGAAUUCCCAGUGUAGCGGUGAAAUGCGUAGAUAUUGGGAAGAACACCGGUGGCGUAGGCGACUAGCUGGGCCAUAACUGACGCUGAGGAACGAAAGCCAGGGGAGCGAAUGGGAUUAGAAACCCCGGUAGUCCCA